UACGGGGGGGGCAAGCGUUGUUCGGAAUUACUGGGCGUAAAGGGUACGUAGGUGGCCAACUAAGUCAGACGUGAAAUCCCUCAGCUCAACUGGGGAACUGCGUCUGAUACUGGUCGGCUUGAGUGCAGGAGAGGAACGCGGAAUUCCAGGUGUAGCGGUGAAAUGCGUAGAUAUCUGGAGGAACACCGGUGGCGAAGGCGGCGUUCUGGACUGCAACUGACACUGAACAACGAAAGCCAGGGGAGCAAACGGG
rnacentral:rRNA from 1 species